ACUUUAAUUGAAGAGUUUGAUCAUGGCUCAGAUUGAACGCUGGCGGCAGGCCUAACACAUGCAAGUCGAGCGGUAACAGAUUGAUAGCUUGCUAUCAAUGCUGACGAGCGGCGGACGGGUGAGUAAUGCCUGGGAAUAUGCCCUGAUGUGGGGGAUAACUAUUGGAAACGAUAGCUAAUACCGCAUAAUCUCUUCGGAGCAAAGAGGGGGACCUUCGGGCCUCUCGCGUCAGGAUUAGCCCAGGUGGGAUUAGCUUGUUGGUGGGGUAAUGGCUCACCAAGGCAACGAUCCCUAGCUGGUCUGAGAGGAUGAUCAGCCACACUGGAACUGAGACACGGUCCAGACUCCUACGGGAGGCAGCAGUGGGGAAUAUUGCACAAUGGGGGAAACCCUGAUGCAGCCAUGCCGCGUGUAUGAAGAAGGC
rnacentral:rRNA from 1 species